AGAAACCCUAACCUUAAGUAUUUUUUCUUUUCUCCCUAUUCUUUCUCUUUUCCUCCCUCUAACGGCGUCCAAUCCUCAGCCAUCGUCUCUCUGUUCCUCCUUCCGACCAGCCAUCAUCUCUCUCUUCCUCCUUCUGGCCAGCCAUCGUCUCUCUCUUCCUCCGCUCCCCAGCGAUGACCAGCCCGAGGGACAGGUAAUUUUUCUUUUCUCCCAAUUUUGUUUCGAUUGUUGUUGCUUCUUUUAGAUUUUCGUCCCAAUUUUGUUUAGGUUGUUGCUGCUUCUUUCAAUGGUUGCAUUUUGUUUGCCUUUUUCUCUAUUAUUUUCUGAAUUAUUUAGAGGAAUUUAAAACACUGAUAGCUCAAGUGUUGGUUAUAAAUCCUGCUUUGAAUGAAGUAGUAGUACUAGUAAGGGGAAAAGAUUCGUGGAGAACAUUAGAAAUCUUGGUUAGAUUCGUGGAGUGCACAUUUGUGUUCUCUCGUUUUUAAUUUUUUUUUCUUUCUAAUUUUCCAGUUUUCUCUCGUGGAGUGCACAUCGUCUCUCUCUUCCUCCUUCCGACCAGCCAUCGAAACUGAAGGAGUCCAAGAAUAGGUACGGUUUUGAAUACUCAAUUAGUUAAAAUGCAUUUAGUCGGUUCAUAUGUCAAACAUGGUCAAACUUUUGAAUCACAUUAAUAUUUACUAUCUAAAUAAUAUAAAUAUAAUCCGUUAACACUUUAUUUUGUAAUACAAAUAAUGAAUACACUAACAUAUACUAUAACAAGCUAUAUAUAGUUAAAAUGCAUUCCUCUCGUCCUCCCCGUGAUCGUUCCUCUAGUCCGACCCGUGAUCGUUCUUCACGUCCUCCACAAGGCCGUUCUCUAUACCGUCUUGUAGAUGAAAGUUCAUCAAAUGGUGAUGAUGUUGUAGAAAACACCCCUUGACCAAUACUUUGAUAUACUUUGAACUAGAGUAACAGAACUAGUUUUGAAUUAGAUUGAACAAUUUUGAACUUGUUGUACGUACUUAGUUUUUGCUUGCUUUUGGAUUGUGAUGUUUAAUUGAACUUUAAUUUGUUAGUUUUAAAGUAUUAAUUGGAUGUUUGGUUGUUGUUGUUGGAUAUUUGGUUGGAUUUGUGGUGAAUUAGGGGUUGUAUGUGAUGAAUUGGUGGUUAUUAGAUGUGAAUUGGGGGUAUUGGUAUGCUGUUUUUAUUUGGCAGGUGGUGUAGCUACCAAAACAGGCAUUUUCUGCCAAAAUUAAUCCCAGAAAACUGACCAACCUUGGUCGGUGACUAAUAAAAAAAAAAUUUAAAUUGUAAAUUACCGACCAAUAUUGGUCGGUUAAUGCACAUUGAAUUUUCAGAAAUUCAACAUUACCGACCAACUUUGGUCG
rnacentral:lncRNA from 1 species